rfam:Steinernema glaseri strain NC unplaced genomic scaffold GLAS_6785, whole genome shotgun sequence.
GGGGGUAUAGCUCAGGGGUAGAGCGCUCGCUAGCAUGCGAGAGGGCUGGGGUUCGAUUCCCCAUACCUCCA